UACGUAGGUGGCAAGCGUUGUUCGGAAUUAUUGGGCGUAAAGGGCGCGUAGGCGGCUUGUUAAGUCGGCUGUGAAAGCCCGGGGCUCAACCCCGGAGGGUCAGCCGACACUGGCAGGCUAGAGUACGGAAGAGGCGAGUGGAAUUCCUGGUGUAGCGGUGAAAUGCGCAGAUAUCAGGAGGAACACCAAUUGCGAAGGCAGCUCGCUGGGACGUUACUGACGCUGAGACGCGAAAGCGUGGGGAGCAAACAGG
rnacentral:rRNA from 1 species